GAGACCUACGGGACGCAGCAGUGGGGAAUAUUGCACAAUGGGGGAAACCCUGAUGCAGCGACGCCGCGUGAGUGAAGAAGUAAUUCGUUAUGUAAAGCUCUAUCAGCAGGGAAGAAAAUGACGGUACCUGAGUAAGAAGCCCCGGCUAACUACGUGCCAGCAGCCGCGGUAAUACGUAGGGGGCAAGCGUUAUCCGGAUUCACUGGGCGUAAAGGGAGCGCAGGCGGCACGGCAAGCCUGAUGUGAAAACCCGGGGCUCAACCCCGGGACGGCAUUGGAAACUGCCGGGCUGGAGUGUCGGAGGG
rnacentral:rRNA from 1 species